AAUCAGUUGUUUUAAAGCCGUAUUGAUCGUACAGUGAAACUGGCCCAGAUUUCUCUUCCAGAAACUCGGAGUGAAGGAGAAAGAAAGAUGAUACACACCAAAGAAAAGAUGCUGGUGUGUGUGCAUGGAUGCUGGGAAAUGGAGGCUGUGAUGUUUGAGAUGUUGAGAUCUCCUCUGAAAACUCCAGAAGAGACACAGGAGAAUACUGGGCUCAUCUGAAACAUCUGAGAAGCAGGAGACAUAAGCAGAAGUCUCCAGUUGCUCUCCAUUUCAUCAAGAAGAAACAGUCAAUUUAAAGAGAUCUCGUUUAAAAAAUUUCUUCAUCAUUGGAAAAUGGCAGACAACGUGUUUGAGAAAUCAGAUUAGAGUGAAUCAGAGACAGUUGUAAAAUUGGACUUAGAAUGCUUGGAUAAUGCGUGGCUGUAAUAUUGAAAUGGUGAGUGUUUCAACAUUUACAAAUUGGCUACAUUCACUUCCAUUAAAUGUACCAUAAUUUUAUUUUCCUAAACAAGAGAAGGAACAAGUGGAAAUUUUGUGGUGAUCAACAUUAUGCCACAAAUUGAGCUUAUUUUAUACUGUACCUGGAAUUCAAACGAUGUUGAGCCACUAUCAUGUCUUGUGUAAACUUUGUUGAGAAAGAUAAAUUUGU